rnacentral:rRNA from 1 species
AGCGAACGCUGGCGGCAGGCCUAACACAUGCAAGUCGAACGGAUCCUUCGGGAUUAGUGGCGGACGGGUGAGUAACACGUGGGAACGUGCCCUUUGGUUCGGAACAACUCAGGGAAACUUGAGCUAAUACCGGAUGUGCCCUUCGGGGGAAAGAUUUAUCGCCAUUGGAGCGGCCCGCGUCUGAUUAGCUAGUUGGGGGGGUAAAGGCCCACCAAGGCGACGAUCAGUAGCUGGUCUGAGAGGAUGAUCAGCCACAUUGGGACUGAGACACGGCCAAAACUCCUACGGGAGGCAGCAGUGGGGAAUCUUGCGCAAUGGGCGAGAGCCUGACGCAGCCAUGCCGCGUGAAUGAUGAAGGUCUUAGGAUUGUAAAAUUCUUUCACCGGGGACGAUAAUGACGGUACCCGGAGAAGAAGCCCCGGCUAACUUCGUGCCAGCAGCCGCCGUAAUAC